UGGGGAAUUUUGGACAAUGGGGGCAACCCUGAUCCAGCCAUGCCGCGUGAGUGAAGAAGGCCUUCGGGUUGUAAAGCUCUUUUGGCCGGGAAGAAAAGGCCGCUCCUAAUACGGGUGGUUUUUGACGGUACCGGCAGAAUAAGCACCGGCUAACUACGUGCCAGCAGCCGCGGUAAUACGUAGGGUGCGAGCGUUAAUCGGAAUUACUGGGCGUAAAGCGUGCGCAGGCGGUUCGUUAUGUCUGUUGUGAAAGCCCCGGGCUCAACCUGGGAAUGGCAAUGGAAACUGGCGAGCUAGAGUGUGGCAGAGGGGGGUGGAAUUCCGCGUGUAGCAGUGAAAUGCGUAGAGAUGCGGAGGAACACCGAUGGCGAAGGCAGCCCCCUGGGCUAACACUGACGCUCAGGCACGAAAGCGUGGGGAGCAAACA
rnacentral:rRNA from 1 species